UGAAGGAUUUACCAUUUCUGAGCUGC
rnacentral:piRNA from 1 species